rnacentral:rRNA from 1 species
UACAGAGGGCGCGAGCGUUGUCCGGAAUCACUGGGCGUAAAGGGCGCGUAGGUGGCCACCAUAAGGCCGCGGUGAAAGUUCGGGGCUCAACCCCGAAUCGGCCGCGGCGACUGUGGGGCUCGGGUACUGUAGAGGCAGAUGGAAUUCCGGGUGUAGCGGUGGAAUGCGUAGAGAUCCGGAAGAACACCAGUGGCGAAGGCGGUCUGCUGGGCAGUGGGAUCGAAAGGUCCCUUCGAACCGACACUGAGGCGCGACAGCGUGGGGAGCAAACAGG